UACGAAGGGGGCUAGCGUUGCUCGGAAUCACUGGGCGUAAAGCGCACGUAGGCGGAUUGCUAAGUCAGGGGUGAAAUCCUGGAGCUCAACUCCAGAACUGCCCUUGAUACUGGCGGUCUCGAGUCCGGGAGAGGUGAGUGGAACUGCGAGUGUAGAGGUGAAAUUCGUAGAUAUUCGCAAGAACACCAGUGGCGAAGGCGGCUCACUGGCCCGGGACUGACGCUGAGGUGCGAAAGCGUGGGGAGCAAACAGG
rnacentral:rRNA from 1 species